CCAGGCCCACAACCCGUCAGAUUUUUUGAACCUUAAAGAGCUAACCUUAGACUUCAUCUUCUUCCUCAACCAUAAGAGAACAAGACAAGGAGAUAUGGAGUUAACCCUAAUUACUUAGUCUUUUUCUUCACCUUGACAAAAACCCCAGGAACUGAACCUAGAAGAACAACCGCCGCCCCCAGCCUUAACUCGUCGGAAACCAGCCGCCGCCGCUUCUUCCUUCGUCUCCACCUUCAGCACAACAAAACCUAACCUCCAAAAACCCUAAUCCUCUAAGUAGCCGCCCACCAUAGCGAAACCCUAAGAGCCCAGCAGCCGUCUUUUUCUUCGGCCUCACUGGCGCAACAACUGAACCCUAUCCCCCUUAACCAAAACUGCCGGACCAUCUCAACUCACACCCGCCGCCCCAGCCUCUAACCAGCCAGACCUGUUUCCAGAACCAGCCGCCAGCCUUAACCCGCCGACCAACUGACCCCAACCAGUGACCCCUCACACCAAACAACACACCACCCGUCCUCCUCCACAUGCCACUGCUCCUCCCCUCACACUCUCCUCUCACCCAUCGAUAUCAACACACACACAGUAACAUACAGUAGAGAGUGACGAGAGGAAAAGUUUAGUUCAAAUUCAAUUUCGUCGUUGUCUGUCGCUUUUGGUCUUAGUUAUUUUAUCGAGCUGAACCGUUCUUCUUGAGGUUGUCGAUUAAGGUUUCCGGUGCGAGGAUUUAACAUUCAGUUGAGUUUGUUUUAAUCUUCUUUGUCGUGACUCGGGAAAUCUCGUUUAAUCAAUUUUCGCAUCAUUUUUGGGUUAUUUUAAGCAUGAUUUGUGGUUGUUCAUUAUUAUUGUUGCUAUUGCAAAGUUGUUGGAUUCCAUUUUCAAGUUUCUUAAGCUAUAUUUGGGCGAGUUAUGUUGGUUUCAAACUGUCGAGCGCUGCUAUCCCGUUUGGAAAUUGUUUAGUUGAGCCUUAUCAUUUUUUUGCUUAAGAGCUUUGCCAUCAAGCUCGUAUUGGAAUUUUAGUUGGAGUGUGCUUGGAUUUGUUGACUCGUGUUGGUUCCGGUUCGAGUUCAAGGAUUACGAUCAGCUUAGAUCAAAUUAACGCCGAAAAGGUUCUCGCGCUCGUUGAGGUUCAACUCUUCAGCCUUUACUCAUUUUAUCUAGCUGAAUGUUAAUUGCUUGUUUGGUGAUUUGAUUCUAGGAUUUGUUUAGCUAUUGUUUCCGAUUAUGAGUUUGUUCAUUUAGUUAUCUGUUCAUGUUUACUCGAAUUGGUUAUAAUUGAAUAUGAUUUUAUCACUUUAUAACUUGGGUUGUUGGAUAAAAAGUAAAAGAAAUUUAGGUUCAAAAUAGUAAUAUUACCCUUUUAUUCUUGUUUUAUUUAUUUUGAAGUCGUCAGGAGCAUUCUUAGGCCGUCAUCACUUGGGUAGGCAAGCCUUAGGAUUUUUGGUUGUUUCGCAGCGAGAGGUUGUUCCUUUAGUUAAUUUUAUCGGGGGAAUUCCCUGAAGGAUUUGUAUAUAUUUUUAUCGAGGGUAUGCCCCAAAGUACUUGUAUUUGGAGGCCUAAAGUGGAACUCAUGGUAUUUUUAUUUUAUUUUUAUUUUUAUUUUUCUUUCAUUAGACGGGAACGACCUCGAGCCUCCUUCGUGUUUGGUUUCCCCUUUUCAGUGUUUAUUACCUUAAUU
rnacentral:lncRNA from 1 species